rnacentral:misc_RNA from 1 species
UUAUGACCUUUGUCCCACUAUAGGUUUGGAGGAGCGUCAAAGAUUUCUGCAUGCAUAUCUGAGUUCGUCAGGUACCUGUUGCCUUGAUAAUUGGAAGUUAUUUCUUGUUAAUAAAGUCUUUUUUAUCAAAUCUAUGUCUGUUUGUAAGAACUAGGUGCCUGUUAUUUAUUUUGGAACACUUAUUGGAAAAGGAGAACAAUGAACUAUUCACCAGUAACUGUGCAUUUGAAUCUAAGUCUACUUUGCAAUUCUACAACCAUAUGAAGCUUGAACUAACCAUCAUAAUUGUGUAAAUAUGCAAUGUUUUGGUAUUUGAUUAAUGUCCAUCUAUUGUGAUUGGCAUAUUUCACAUUCCAAGGUUAGAUUCUCAAUGAAGGAUUGCUGUGCUUGCAUUUUAAAAAAAAUUGCCAGCCACAAAUGGUAUCUUGUGCCAAUACUCAUACUAGAGUUCAUGCAACAAAAUUAACUGCAAAAUUGGUUUCACUGUCACCAUUAUGUGAAGCUUUUGGGUUUUCAUGCAGGUAAUCAAGUUAAAGACAUUGAGGUGAAGCAGCUUCUGGAAGAUGUUGAGAAAUACACACUUGCAAGCCAUCUAUUUUGGGCCUUGUGGGGCAUAAUAUCUGAACAUGUGAAUAAAAUCGACUUUGACUACAUGGCAUAUGCAAGGCAGAGGUUUGAGCAGUACUGGUUAAGGAAGCCUCAACUAUUUAGCCAAUUGUCCGUCUGAUGGUAAUAUUAUGUAGUUCAUAGGUCGCUUUCUCCUCCUUAGUGCUUUUGUUGGCCCUUGCAGUGUAUUUACUAAAAAAACUUUGGGUAUUUGUUUAUUAUUUCUGCAAAAUAUGUUCAUUUGGCAACAUUUUAUUUCAUGCAUGCUCGUUUGUCUAUAUCGAAAAUACACUGCAGUAUUUCUUUGAAAUUUACAGAAUUUUCAGAUAAUUGAUGAUAAUGUGGAUGAUUGAAGAGCUGAUAAUUCUUCUCUUUUCUGCGGGUUUUAGUUUUGGGAUCUUCAUGUUCUUCUUUUGUACUCUUCCUGUUUUGGUGAGUCAAUUUGCAUGGACUUGCCCUUAUUCAAGCCUCAGACCGAGCUCAAAAUCAAGAAUUUCUUUCUGCUCAGGGAGAGGGUUCUGGGCUUGGGGAAUGGGCCCACCGCUAGGCCAUUGGACUGAUUAACUUGGCAGGCUAUUAGACAUUGUCAAGGUGGUUUCAGUCUGAUUUCAAUUUGUAGCCCAAUCAAAUUUGAAUUGGACCGAGAGUUUGGUUUUUUUUCUGGUUUUGAUUCUGAUUUAAUUUGGG